rnacentral:rRNA from 1 species
UGGGGAAUAUUGCACAAUGGGCGCAAGCCUGAUGCAGCCAUGCCGCGUGUGUGAAGAAGGCCUUCGGGUUGUAAAGCACUUUCAGCGGGGAGGAAGGCGGUGAGGUUAAUAACCUCACCGAUUGACGUUACCCGCAGAAGAAGCACCGGCUAACUCCGUGCCAGCAGCCGCGGUAAUACGGAGGGUGCAAGCGUUAAUCGGAAUUACUGGGCGUAAAGCGCACGCAGGCGGUCUGUCAAGUCGGAUGUGAAAUCCCCGGGCUCAACCUGGGAGAUGCAUUCGGAAAUGGGAGGCUAGAGUCUUGGAGAGGGGGGUAGAAUUCCCGGUGUGGCGGUGAAAUGCGUGGAGAUCUGGAGGAAUACCGGGGGCGAAGGCGGGCCCCUGGACAAAGACUGAGGCUCAGGUGCGAAAGCGUGGGGAGCAAACAGG